rnacentral:rRNA from 1 species
AUUGAACGCUGGCGGCAGGCCUAACACAUGCAAGUCGAGCGGAUGAAGGGAGCUUGCUCCUGGAUUCAGCGGCGGACGGGUGAGUAAUGCCUAGGAAUCUGCCUGGUAGUGGGGGAUAACGUCCGGAAACGGGCGCUAAUACCGCAUACGUCCUGAGGGAGAAAGUGGGGGAUCUUCGGACCUCACGCUAUCAGAUGAGCCUAGGUCGGAUUAGCUAGUUGGUGGGGUAAAGGCCUACCAAGGCGACGAUCCGUAACUGGUCUGAGAGGAUGAUCAGUCACACUGGAACUGAGACACGGUCCAGACUCCUACGGGAGGCAGCAGUGGGGAAUAUUGGACAAAGGGCGAAAGCCUGAUCCAGCCAUGCCGCGUGUGUGAAGAAGGUCUUCGGAUUGUAAAGCACUUUAAGUUGGGAGGAAGGGCGGUAAGUUAAUACCUUGCUGUUUUGACGUUACCAACAGAAUAAGCACCGGCUAACUUCGUG